GUGAGGAAUAUUGGACAAUGGAGGAAACUCUGAUCCAGCCAUGCCGCGUGAGUGAUGAAGGCCUUCGGGUUGUAAAGCUCUUUCGGGUGUGAAAAUGAUGAUGGUAACACCAGAAGAAGCCCCGGCUAACUCCGUGCCAGCAGCCGCGGUAAUACGGAGGGGGCGAGCGUUGUUCGGAAUCACUGGGCGUAAAGCGUGCGUAGGCGGUUAUACAAGUCAGGAGUGAAAUCCCAGGGCUCAACCUUGGAAUUGCUUUUGAGACUGUAUGACUAGAGAUCUAGAGAGGUUGGGGGAAUUCCGAGUGUAGAGGUGAAAUUCGCAGAUAUUCGGAGGAACACCAGUGGCGUAGGCGCCCAACUGGCUAGAUACUGACGCUGAGGCACGAAAGCGUGGGGAGCAAACAGGAUUAGAAACCCUGGUAGUCC
rnacentral:rRNA from 1 species